UACGUAGGGGGCAAGCGUUGUCCGGAAUCAUUGGGCGUAAAGCGCGUGUAGGCGGUUCAGUAAGUCUGCUGUGAAAGUCCAGGGCUCAACCCUGGGAUGCCGGUGGAUACUGCUGGGCUAGAGUACGGAAGAGGCGAGUGGAAUUCCCGGUGUAGCGGUGAAAUGCGUAGAUAUCCGGAGGAACACCGAUGGCGAAGGCAGGUCUCUGGGCCACUACUGACGCUGAGAAGCGAAAGCAUGGGGAGCGAACAGG
rnacentral:rRNA from 1 species